AUGACAAUAAUUCAUAAGCAGCAGGAAGGAAAGUGCUCGCUCGUCUUGUCGGGCUCGUUGGAGCCAGUUCUGAGUUUAUUCAUGACAUGUGAAGUGUAUCCGCAGGCAAACUCCUCGAUGAAACGCCUCAAGACCCACACGGCACUGUCAUUUGAAUUGAAUGGACGGAAACCCCAGCCUGUUGGUGAGAAGAUACCAGAUUCUGUGAAUCGCCACAACAGCCAGGUUGCGUUUACAGCGUGGGGAACACAGAGAGCACCGGAGUUCGCAGAGCCUUCCAUGAAGCCGGAGGACGGGGCUGUAGGAGAGUGUGUGUGCCCUGCGGCCCCCUCCUUGCCCAGCACCUGGGUGCAGCCGAUACCCGAGGGGAGUGUCAGGCCCUGGACCCUGUCUCCGGGGCGUGUGCAUCUGCAGUGGCUUUGCUUGGAAGCAAAGUUACUGUAAGCAACAAAGAGUGGACACUUUCUAGCACUGGUUAUCUCUGAGCAAAAUUAUACAGUUUGGCAUAUUUUAAA
rnacentral:lncRNA from 1 species